CCAGAGGAGGGAUCAUUACCGAGUUAUCCAACUCCCAACCCCUGUGAAUUAUACCUUUAAUUGUUGCUUCGGCGGGACUUCGCGCCCGCCGGGGACCCAAACCUUCUGAAUUUUUUUAAUAAGUAUCUUCUGAGUGGUUUAAAAUUUAUAUUGAAUCAAAACUUUCAACAACGGAUCUCUUGGUUCUGGCAUCGAUGAAGAACGCAGCGAAAUGCGAUAAGUAAUGUGAAUUGCAGAAUUCAGUGAAUCAUCGAAUCUUUGAACGCACAUUGCGCCCGUCAGUAUUCUGGCGGGCAUGCCUGUUCGAGCGUCAUUACGCCCCUCAAGUCCCCUGUGGACUUGGUGUUGGGGAUCGGCGAGGCUGGUUUUCCAGCACAGCCGUCCCUUAAAUUGAUUGGCGGUCUCGCCGCGGCCCUCCUCUGCGCAGUAGUAAAACACUCGCAACAGGAGCCCGGCGCGGUCCACUGCCGUAAAACCCCCCAACUUAUAUAUUUAUAGUUGACCUCGAAUCAGGUAGGU
rnacentral:rRNA from 1 species